rnacentral:lncRNA from 1 species
AAAGAAACAACUUUGCUGACAAUUAUAUAUUUUGAUUUGGUCAGAAGAGUCCUCCGAAUAUUCUGUUCUUGGAUUAGGGAUCAGUCGCAAGAUUCAUUUUGGAAUAUGAAUAGAGAAGAGAGGGAGAGGAUAGGCUCAUUACAUUAAAAAAAGAUAUGGGAACCCCCCCCAUACAUAAGUAGUUGACGUAAUUGAGUGGGAGAGCCAAAUGAAUCGAAAAAUUCAUGUUUGGU